rnacentral:lncRNA from 10 species
UAAAAGCAGGCUGCCCGAGCCCGCAGCGGCAACUCGCUGGAGUCCUGUUUCACAGGGUGGGGGUUUUGUUCUUUUGCCCUUUGCAGUAAAUCUUGCUGCUACUAACUCUUUGGGUCCACGCUGCCUUUGUGAGCUUUAACACUCACCACGAAGGUCUGCAGCUUCACUCCUGAAGCCAGCGAGACCACGAACCCACACUGAAGGAAGGAAACUCGGAACACAUCCGAACAUCAGAAGGAACAAACUCGACACGUUGCCUUUAAGAACUGUGACACUCACCGCGAGGGUCGGCGUCUCCAUUCUUGAAGUCAGUGAGACCAAGAACCCACCAACCAAUUCCGGACACAAUCUCAGCACUGUGGGAGACUGAGGCACCUGCCAAACCUGCACAGAUUCCUACAGCAGCCAGUUCGCUCUGUCUCGAGGCUUCAGAGGAACACGAACUUCUCUGAUGGAAGAGCCUUGUUCUAGAAGGGAGUGAAGCCUAGGU